UUCUAGUGAUCCAAAGAUAACUGUACAUGGAAAGCCUCUUGGACCAGACUUUAUGCGAGUAUGGGUUGAUGUUGCUAUUGUACCAGAAUCUUACUUAUUUCGUCCUAAUCAUGCGAUGCUUACAAUACAAGAAGCAGUUGGUUCCACAGUUGCAUGGCCUUCUAAAAAGUUAUUCCAAGAGAUAUGACAAGCGAAGUAUAAAAGGAUACUUAAGACUCCUUGAAAGUAGUAACUUUGUUUAUUUCUUUGUGUUGAAAGUAGUAACUUUUAGACUCCUUGAAUACUUAAAGAAUAUUUUGUUGUUGAUGACAGUGUUGAAUGUUUUAAACUAAAUUGUGGAUUGUUAAUUCAA